rnacentral:rRNA from 1 species
GACGAACGCUGGCGGCGUGCUUAACACAUGCAAGUCGAGCGGUAAGGCCCUUUCGGGGGUACACGAGCGGCGAACGGGUGAGUAACACGUGGGUGACCUGCCUCUAGCUCUGGGAUAAGCCUGGGAAGCUGGGUCUAAUACCGAAUAUGACCUCGCGGUGCAUGUUGCGGGGUGGAAAGCCUUGCGCGGCUAGGGGAUGGGCCCGCGGCCUAUCAGCUUGUUGGUGGGGUGANGGCCUACCAAGGCGACGACGGGUAGCCGGCCUGAGAGGGCGACCGGCCACACUGGGACUGAGACACGGCCCAGACUCCUACGGGAGGCAGCAGUGGGGAAUCUUGCGCAAUGGGCGAAAGCCUGACGCAGCGACGCCGCGUGAGGGAUGACGGCCUCGGUU